GACGUAGGGCGCGAGCGUUGUCCGGAUUUAUUGGGCGUAAAGAGCUCGUAGGCGGCUUGUCGCGUCGACUGUGAAAACCCGCGGCUCAACUGCGGGCCUGCAGCCGAUACGGGCAGGCUAGAGCGCGGUAGGGGAGACUGGAAUUCCUGGUGUAGCGGUGAAAUGCGUAGAGAUCCGGAGGAACACCGACGGCGCAGGCAGCGUCCUGGCCGCUUGCUGACACUGAGGCACGAAAGCUGGGGGAGCAAACAGG
rnacentral:rRNA from 1 species